rnacentral:rRNA from 1 species
AUAAGAGGUCCCGCCUGCCCUGUGACUAUAUGUUUAACGGCCGCGGUAUUUUGACCGUGCGAAGGUAGCGCAAUCACUUGUCUUUUAAAUGAAGACCUGUAUGAAUGGCAUCACGAGGGCUUAGCUGUCUCCCCCUUCCAGUCAAUGAAAUUGAUCUCCCCGUGCAGAAGCGAGGAUAAAUACAUAAGACGAGAAGACCCUAUGGAGCUUAAGACGCCAGGGCAGCUCACGUUAAACACCCCUAAUAAAGGAAUUCAACCAAGCGAAUCCUGCUCUAAUGUCUUUGGUUGGGGCGACCACGGGGAAGCAUAAAACCCCCACGUGGAUAGGAACACUUCACUCCUAAACCCAAGAGCCUCCGCUCUAACAAACAGAACUUCUGACCAUUUUAGAUCCGGCUACACCGAUCAACGGACCGAGUUACCCUAGGGAUAACAGCGCAAUCCCCUUAAAGAGCUCUUAUCGACAAGGGGGUUUACGACCUCGAUGUUGGAUCAGGACAUCCUAAUGGUGCAGCC